rnacentral:lncRNA from 1 species
GAGUCAAAUGAAAUUGAUAGAACUUGUAUUCUGUGAGAGAGCUUUGACAGAUCUACAAAUGACAAUCCCCAAGGUGCAUAUAAGUGGGUGCCGAAGAGAACUGUGAGAGUAGGAAUGAACCUACAAAAGCAGCCAGUCUAACUUACCUUGUUUUAUAGACAAGGAAAUGAGGUCCAGCCUGAGUGUCUAGAUUAAGGUCAUACCGCAUAUUAGAAAACACGGGAGUGAAAGUCAGGUCUUUUAACAUCAAACCCAGGGCUCUUUCAACUUCUAUUAUUCUACCAUUUAUGGGGAAUUUAAAUAACUAAUUGUUCUUGGACUUUGGCCUGAUAGCAUUAACACUAUGUAUAGCAAUAUUCCAAAACUCUUUCUGGACACUCUAAAAUAGAUGGACUGAAAUAAAGUUUUGGCUUAGAAAAUCAAUACCAUUUUACAACUUUCUAUCCCCACUAUUUUUGCAGUUGAUAACUCUUACAAAGGGUUAGAAAAUUCAUAAAUAUCAGUGAAACAGAACAACUAACCCUCUAGACAGUAACUAGAUAGAAC